UACAGAGGUCUCAAGCGUUUGUUCGGAUUCAUUGGGCGUAAAGGGUGCGUAGGCGGCGCGGUAAGUCGGGGUGUGAAAUCUUGGAGCUUAACUCCGAAACUGCAUUCGAUACUGCCGUGCUUGAGGACUGGAGAGGAGACUGGAAUUUACGGUGUAGCGGUGAAAUGCGUAGAUAUCGUAAGGAAGACCAGUGGCGAAGGCGGGUCUCUGGACAGUUCCUGACGCUGAGGCACGAAGGCCCAGGGGGAGCAAACGGG
rnacentral:rRNA from 1 species